UCCAAGCAAUUGGAGCAUUUUAUGUCCCUUUGCAGAUGAGCAGAAUUUCCUUAAAGGAACGAGAUGGCCCCUGACUGGAGCAAACAGCAAGACCUGCUUUUUCAGCUGGUUGUCCCUGCUCAGGAGGGACUUGUAUCAGAAACAGCAGUGUCAUUUCUGCUCGUCAGCCACCCCAGUGAGUGAGUUCUCAUCAGCUCAAGUGACAACAAAUGCAGGUGCUUCUCUGCUUUUUAUUCUGUGGAGGCCAUGUCAGUUAUCUUAACCAUCUCCCAUGAAUAAUGUCCAGGGCCAGGUCACAAACUUCCCAGAGCAGGGGACCCGUUUGCACACAAUCCAAGCGAUUACAAGCAACGAACAGUACUUAGUAAACCCAAACAAAACCAAAAAAACCCCACUCUUGCUGCCGU